UGUCAGGAACAACUGGUCGCAAAGAUCGCACUUCACUUCUUUGUCACGAGCGUGACGUUCUAAAUGUUUCUUUAAAUAUUUCUCUUGUUUUAAUUUGUAGCCGCAAAUAGGGCAGGGGUAGCAAACAGUCUUCUUCAUCAUCAUCUGAUAAACAUACAACUUCAUCAUCAUCGUCAUGGCCCGUUAUUGUUUCUUCUUUUAUACAAGACGAUGUCCCUUUGUCAGAAUCUUUACCUAAGCUACUAGUUGCCUGGCGCCUCGAGUUUUCUGACUUGGGUAUUAUUUUAGCUUUUGCGACUCCGCUACUAUCCGCUUUCUCAACUAACUUUUUACAAUAGUCCUACAUGCAGGACAAAUGUUGCCAGGUAAACAAUCAUUGGUUGAUAUCUGGAAUUUUUUUAUAUUGUUUGUUAUGACAAUAUGAAAACAGCACUUGAACUGAUGUCGACGAUGUUAUAUUUUUAGUUGAUCUCAAUAUUUAACACACAACAAAAAGGAUAACGAAAAACGAAAACGGAACUGAACGAUAAUGAACACGAAAACGUAAUUAAGACACACACACAUGGAUGUUAGCUACGAAACAAUGAUAUAAAAUGGUUUUUAUGGAAACAAA